CUACGGGCGGCAGCAGUGGGGAAUAUUGCACAAUGGGCGCAAGCCUAAUGCAGCCAUGCCGCGUGUAUGAAGAAGGCCUUCGGGUUGUAAAGUACUUUCAGCGGGGAGGAAGGGAGUAAAGUUAAUACCUUUGCUCAUUGACGUUACCCGCAGAAGAAGCACCGGCUAACCCAGUGCCAGCAGCCGCGGUAAUACGGAGGGUGCAAGCGUUAAUCGGAAUUACUGGGCGUAAAGCGCACGCAGGCGGUUUGUUAAGUCAGAUGUGAAAUCCCCGGGCUCAACCUGGGAACUGCAUCUGGAUACUGGCAAGCUUGAGUCUCGUAGAGGGGGGUAGAAUUCCAGGUGUAGCGGUGAAAUGCGUAGAGAUCUGGAGGAAUACCGGUGGCGAAGGCGGCCCCCUGAACGAAGACUGACGCUCAGGUGCGAAAGCGUGGGGAGCAAACAGGAUUAGAUACCCGUGUAGUC
rnacentral:rRNA from 1 species